rnacentral:rRNA from 1 species
UGGGGAAUAUUGGACAAUGGACCAAAAGUCUGAUCCAGCAAUUCUGUGUGUUUGAUGAAGGCCUUCGGGUUGUAAAGAACUUUAAGUAGGGAAGAAGAAAGUGACGGUACCUACAGAAUAAGCGACGGCUAAAUACGUGCCAGCAGCCGCGGUAAUACGUAUGUCGCAAGCGUUAUCCGGAAUUAUUGGGCAUAAAGCGCGUCUAGGCGGUUUACUAAGUCUGAUGUGAAAAUGCGGAGCUCAACUCCGUAUUGCGUUGGAAACUGGUAGACUAGAGUAUUGGAGAGGUAGGCGGAACUACAAGUGUAGAGGUGAAAUUCGUAGAUAUUUGUAGGAAUGCCAAUGACGAAGGUAGCUUACUGGACAAAUACUGACGCUGAAGCGCGAAAGCUAGGGGAGC